AACCCCGUGGUGUAACGGUAGCACAAGUGGUUUUGGUCCAUUUAGUUGAGGUUCGAAUCCUCGCGGGGUUG
rnacentral:tRNA from 1 species